UACCUCGUCCCCUGUCCCCUCCCUGCAGCCGGCGCGGGACAGACGCUCUGGGGACGUGCGGUGAGGUGCUGGCGGAAACACUGGGUGCGGGUGAUGAGGGUCCCCGCCGAUGCGGGUCUCCGGGUGGGAGACCAGGGGAGACGGAGGCCGCCCGGGCGGAGUCGAGAGACGAGCGUCUACAGAUUCCUGUCACUUCCGAGGGAUAUGAAUGACAGGCUAUUUUACAUGCAAGAAGGAGAGGCCAGAGCCCCCUUUGUUACAAGGUGAGGCUGUGUGGACGUGUGAGCAGCUGUGAGGAACCCGGGCACCUCAAAAACAAGCAAUUCUAUUCUCUCCCCAUCUUGUCUCUGUUCUUUCCCUCUUGUGGGCUGCUCUCUCGCUGCCGACUGCUAAGUCUAACCCACAUUUAGUAGGAGGACAGUCCAGUUACAAGAGCCUUUUGCUCUAAGCCCCGUCUGGGCUCCCCACCAGCCUAUGGUUGGCUUCCCUUAUGCCAGGAGCUCCCCCUGACCCAAUGGCCGUUCCCACACAAACUCCACCUGCUCCCCUGGACUGGGAGCUCUGGGCCAGGCAACACGAACCCUAAUGGACCCUCUCAGCCUUGUCCCAGGACAAUUUAUUUUUCACAGAAUUGUGAAAGUUCUACUUCACAAGAGGAAGUUACAGUCCCUUGUGAAGAGCGAACAUGAGCUCCCUACAAGGCAUGUGCAAGGGUGCCAAGAGGAGGAUGGCGGGGACCAGGGAGGGGUGAGUCCAGGAGCUCUAGCGCGCUCCUGGCUGUGGAACUGGGCAUUCCGCCCUGCAGUCCUUCUCAGUCCCCUGCUAAUUGCGAACAUGACCAGUCUCCGCAGCUCCUUCCAGCCUCAGCUGUGGCGGGAAACGCUCACCUGCCCAGCCUGGUCUGCCGCACUGCUUGCUACCGGCAGUCCCGCCCCUUCCCUGCACCUGCUUCCUCUCUGCCUUUGCUGCUCUUUGCAUCUCUGACCAGAAGAAGUGGGUCUUGACGGGAAGGACCAGAGGACAGGAGCACCCCCGUGUCAGCUGUUUGCUUAGCUGGUUAUGGAAAGUUAGAGGCUGACCUACAGACAGGACUUCCAGGUCAGAAUUGUCCAAAGAUUUAUGUUUCCAGUUUCAAUUUCACAGAAAAUAGAAUCUCGGGGUUUAGUUAGAAAAGUGGUAGCGGAUGACCCGCCACGCCUGGCAGUUCUGUCACUGUGACCGUACAGGUGCUGUGAAUGGAGAGCUGCUCACUACCCACCACGUUACCACCAUCUGGGACAUUAGGGAGAAAACCAGGAUUGAAUGUGCCCUUCAUGUGUUUGUUUAUGAAGUAAAAAACAGGAAAAGUCAAAUAUUCCACUGCAGUGAGGGACUGAUGUUAUUUCUACAGAAAAAAUGCCUUCUUUUUGAAGCACCAUAUACAAAAUCAUAUGUUCAAUAUUACCAAGUACUUAUGGUUUUUCAACUCUCCUCAUAAAUUAAGGCGGAAAGAAAAUAUGUGAUUAGAGAACAUUGUUAAAAUUUGGGUUUUUGUUGAGACUCGUUCUUUGGGUACGUGUGAGGGAGAAGGCGCCCUCCGCCGACUGGGGCCUGGGGACCCAGCUGGGUACCCCUCACAGCGUCAUGCUUCCCCCUCUCAAACCCAUGAUCUCACUGAACAGGAAGAAGAGGAGGCUCCGUCUCCAGUUAAAAGAAAGGAGUGAAAAGAGAAGCACAGGAGGAGGCGGGCGUGUCUGCCCAGCUGCCAGGGGAGUCGGGUCCUCACUCCACGCUCACAGGAAGUCUGCGGCUGGCACUUUAGUGGACACUGGAGGGGAGACUCUGCCCCGAGGGCCGUCUUCCCAUGUGAGAGGCAAACGGUGCAGCACGCGUGUUACACUCGACAGCACAGAGGAAGGGAUGACGAGAUCUGGGAGUCGGGGAUGCCCUCGGUUCUGCAGCGAAGGCGACACUUGAGCUGGAUGCUGGAAAACCAGCAGGAGGUGGGUAGCAGGAGCCAAGUUCCCAGGGUCUGAGGAGAGCGCCUGACAGGAGCUUGGACUGCAAAGAAGGAA